GGUCCGGUGGUGUAGUUGGUUAUCACUUCUGUCUAACACACAGGCGGUCGUCAGUUCGAACCUGGCCCGGAUCA
rnacentral:tRNA from 1 species